AGAACGAACGCUGGCGGCAUGCCUAACACAUGCAAGUCGAACGAGACCUUCGGGUCUAGUGGCGCGCGGGUGCGUAACGCGUGGGAAUCUGCCCUUGGGUUCGGGAUAACAGUUGGAAACGACUGCUAAUACCGGAUGAUGUCUUCGGACCAAAGAUUUAUCGCCCAAGGAUGAGCCCGCGUAGGAUUAGCUUGUUGGUGAGGUAAGAGCUCACCAAGGCGACGAUCCUUAGCUGGUCUGAGAGGAUGAUCAGCCACACUGGGACUGAGACACGGCCCAGACUCCUACGGGAGGCAGCAGUGGGAAUAUUGGACGAUGGGA
rnacentral:rRNA from 1 species